CAAGAUAUGGCACAAGUUCAACAUGAAACAUGGAUUAGAAUUUAAUGGGGGAUCAAAUCAAGUCUGGAAGUGUUACAGGAUGGAAGAGUCAGCCUACAGAUGAAAAAACACUGAGAGUGCAUUACCAUUAAGUACAACAGCAAUCCUUUAUAGUUCUGUCACAGCUAGAAACCUCAAAUAAUUCUGCUUCUCUGUCUAAAGAACAACUUGUCCUUUACGUUCAGAGUGUUGGGGAAACUGGGUACUUAAAUGGCCCUAAAGAAGUUUUAAUUUUGCUGCCAUUGCAGAGAUGAACAUCAUACAUGGACUCUUUAGGUCUAAUCUACCAAAAAAAAAUUUUAUCCAAAAGGAAAGGAUUUUCAUGUACUGGGAACACAACUAUCAACAAUGCAACAUUGUACAGCUUCCACCAGAAGUUGAAUCUAUGAGUCAUGUAAGUUACAUGAUCAACAGUUGAUAUGUUUAACGGUGUUGUUUUUCUUUUCUCAAUAUAGGUUAAUAGUAACAUUGGAUCUGAAAAAAUUCUUGGUUGGGGCAAGACACUGAAUAAAUUGUAUUGAUUGGAUGGAUGACAUGACAUUUCUAUACUUAAUUCGGAUUCCCCA